ensembl:snRNA U6 U6 spliceosomal RNA
UGGCUUUAGCAGCACAUGUACUAAAAUUGUAAUGAUACAGAGAUUACAUGACCCCUGUGCAAGGAGGACAUGCAAUUUUUGAAGGGUUCCAUUAUUAU